GCUGAUGAUACCACCACCAAGAAAUCAUCACCAUUAAUAUUUUGGCUUUUUUGUUUUCAGAUUUUUUCCAUUAUGAAAUUGUUGAUAUUUGAUCCUCUUGACCUAUAAAAAUGUUAAUAUCAUAUAGCUUACUCGAACAUAUCCAAAUAAUGUCAUAUAUAUUAUUUUAUGUACCAAAAAGCAUACUAAACAGAUUGUUUUAUAGCUUACUUUUCUCAUUUUUAACAUUAUAAUUUAAGCAUUUGUUCAUAAUAUUAAAACUUUUUGAAAACAUUAUUAUGAAUGACUAUUUCAAUAUGUGGAUGUACCACAACUUACCUAAUGAUUUACCUACUGGUAAUCAUUGAGUUGGACUGGUUGGACAUGAGUUGUUUCUAAUUUGUCGCUAUUACAAAUAAUGCUCUGAUAAAUAUGUAUAAUUAAUUUGUGUUUCAGAUUAUUUUUAUUUCUAGAAAUGAGAUUCUUGGUUAUAGGCUAAAUAUAUUUUCUUGGUUUUUUUUUUUGUUCAUUUGUUUGUUUGAGAUGGAGUCUCCCUGUCACCCAGACUGGAAUGCAGUGGCAUGAUCUUGGUUCACUGAAACCUCUGCCUUUCUGGUUCAAGCAAUUCUCAUGUUUCAGCCUCCCAAGCAACGUGUUGGACCUUCCGGAGCUUCUCAGAAGACAGAGGGUUUUCUUUUGAGGUAAAUUUGAUAGUACAUUUUGAUAGUACGGGAGGCGAUACGGCAUGGUGACAGAAAAGCGCCGGCUUGGUUAGCAGGACCACCUGGCAGGGCUGCAGGCUGUGCCACUUACCAGGCAGGGGACCUUGGGCCAGCUGCUUGGCCUCACUCACCCUGUUUCUCAGCUGCAAUUGGGAUGAACAGACUGCCUGCUUCGGGGUUGCCUAAAACUCACAUUGGUUAAUGAUGUGAAAUGCUUAGCGCAGUGCCUGGCAUAGAGAGAAUUCUCAUUAGAUGAUACCUCAGCUGGGCUUUAGGAGCUACAGAAGAAGCUGCAUCUCCAUGAGCUCAGCGUGUUUCUAGCUUUCCUUUUUGUUUUCUAUUCAACCUUUCACCCAACUCAGCUUCUCAAUCCCUAAAUGACAAAGGUUUGGGAAGGAAGACUUGGACCGAGGCUUGCAUUUGUUUCUGAGAAUUAAACGUUAUGUUUUCUUCAAUCUAAAUAGGUUUGCUUGUACAGCCUUGUUGAAUGGUUUUUUUUUUUUUUCUCCAUGAUAAAUGACUCUCAACUUCUUUUCCCUCAUCUAAUUGCUUAUCUACAUACAAUGCCUGGAAGGAAAUAAAUGUAAUGGCCCGUAGCAACUGGCCUUCAGGUAUCAAGUUUAAGUCCCUUUAAGCAGAACAGCAAAUUGAGCACAGAAUGAACUGGUUUCAUGGUAGCGUACUGCAAUUAGAUGCAAGAAUAGGGAAAGCAGGGUGCUUCAAGUGGUGACACAAUUAGUAUAGCACUGAGGGACUUCUCUUUCCACUUCUUCAACUCCGCCUGCAUUCCGCUGGCUGAAGAGUUGAUGACAUCCCUGAAAAAUCUUCCCUCUCUUGUUUCUCUGAUGCCACCUCUGUGUUCUCCGCCUCACUGGCCACACUUCCUUUACCUCCCAAACUUUUAACUCUGAGUGUCCCAAACUUGUCUCAUCACCUACCCCUGCUGCCCAGCUCCCCAGCCUGUUCCCCUUCUGACACGGGCACUCUCCUUCUGCUCUCUUGGGAGAGAAACAAUGAAGGCCUAUUUGGCACUUUUAUUUCUAUUCAAGGAACCAGACUGUGAACAAGUUUACCAUUUAGUCCUUUGGACUGUGUCUUGAAUUCAUCCCUCUUCUCCAUUCUCACCAGCACCAUCAUCAUGAUGGCUAAUAUUUCCUGAGCACCUUUCAUUCAGGCAUGAUGCCAGGUGCACCAACUUACUUAAUCCUCAUAGCCACCACCUGAGCAAGCUCCUGUUUUAUAAAUGGACCAGUUCUUGUUGCUGUUGUACAAGUUAUUUUCUUUCUAUAACGUCCUCCUUGUCCUCCUUCCACAUUCUUAAAGAAACUUUCCCUUCCUUUAAAGUACUCAGGGAGCCCUGCAUUGCUUCUUGAAGCCUUCUCCAGCUUCAUCAUCUCACAGUGGUCUCUCUUUUCACUAAAUGUCCAAUAUGCUGCACAUAAGUACCCCAAAGUUAGCACAGAAUUGUUCCAUGGCUGUCAUAUAUGUUAAAAAUCAUUAAAAGUUCAUUUUUUCUCCCA
rnacentral:lncRNA from 1 species